UAUACUUUUAUAUAUCACUAUUUUUCCAUUUAAAUUUAACUUAAGUUGGACACUUCGAUCAAAGUGUAUGAGUUUCUACACUCUUAUUACCUGAAUUGAGAAUGUUAAGGUGAUUAUUUUACCUCCCUAUGUUUCUCUAAUAAUUGGGGCUCACUUUUUUCCUGACCUUCACUUAAUAGACUAUAUAACUGCAAAAACUUUAACAUGUAAAUUAUUUCUUUUUGGUGAGAUAGGAAAGGUGUUUUUACUCAAAACUAGUGUUAAAACAAUUUUUAUUUUAACUUAAAAAUUUUUUUAGUUGACAGGCAAAAGUGGUUUUUUUCCUCAAUGCUUUUGGUUGCCAUGUUGCAUAGGUUUAAAAUUUAAAGACCAGAAUUUUUGUCUAGUGAUUCUUGAGUAGUUAAGCUGGGAAUAGAGUUGAAGGAAAGCUUGCCCAAAAUGGUCAUGCAGACUAAUUGCUUACAGGAGUCUCUGAGUGAGGCUUGAGAAUUUCAAAUGUAUUCUUAAAUCAUUCUAACCUUGCAUGAAAAACUUGGGUUUGACUACUGAUUUCUGGGAUUGUGUAUACCCGUGAAAAUUAGCCUGAGCAUAUUUCUAAUUACUUGAUCCCCUGUUAAAUCCCUCCGUCAUUGUAACACGUGGAUUUUUUCUCUCUAGCUUUUAGCCACAUCCUACCUAACAUCAGUUUAUCUUAAGGAUGUUUUCACAUUGUGUUUCCUGCUGUGAUCUUUGUAAGCCAAUAAUAAAAAGUCAGCUCAUGCUUUUUAGUAUGAACAGUGAUAGUCUUCUAAAAUAAAUCUGAAAAUUUGAAUAUGUGAUAAUGGUAAUGUAUUCUUCUAGAUAAGCACUACACAAAGUGUGGACCCUCAAUUUAUGUCUUUAAGAUUUAAAGUGAAGUAAAUUUCUAAGGAACUCUGUCCUUUCCUAGCAAGGAUAAGCAGACACUGAAAAUUUGUUGGUUGGCUGGAUGAUAUCUUCAGAUACAUUUUUGAGAAGAAGUGUACAUAGCUGGUGUAUUUCUUGACUCUUUGCAUAUUUGAGAACAUUUUUCUGUUGCCUUCAAAUGUGAUCAACAGUCUGGAUAAAGAAUUCCCAUCAAUAUUCUAAUAACCUGAAGCCUAGAGAGAAAUUAACAACAACAGCAAAAAGAAAGUAAAAUUCAAGAAAUGGUUGAACUUCAGUAAAUAUUUCUUCAUUGGAAGAGCUAUUAUUUCCCAGACACUUCAAAGUUAAGAAAAAGGACAUUAAAAACAUUAAA